AUUCUGUAAUGAGGGCACUUUCAUAAUAAUUCUCUCUACCUUUCCCAUGCCUCAUACAAGGACUUAUCAUCUAUUUGUUGGAAGGCAGUGAUCUCAUUUCUCAACUU
rfam:Gossypium hirsutum cultivar TM-1 chromosome 1, whole genome shotgun sequence